ACCGUAACUUCGGGAGAAGGUGCGCCGGCGAAGGUGAAGGGCUUGCCCCGUAAGCUUUUGCUGGUCGAAGAUACCAGGCCGCUGCGACUGUUUAUUAAAAACACAGCACUCUGCAAACACGAAAGUGGACGUAUAGGGUGUGACGCCUGCCCGGUGCCGGAAGGUUAAUUGAUGGGGUUAGCGCAAGCGAAGCUCUUGAUCGAAGCCCCGGUAAACGGCGGCCGUAACUAUAACGGUCCUAAGGUAGCGAAAUUCCUUGUCGGGUAAGUUCCGACCUGCACGAAUGGCGUAACGAUGGCGGCGCUGUCUCCACCCGAGACUCAGUGAAAUUGAAAUCGCUGUGAAGAUGCAGUGUAUCCGCGGCUAGACGGAAAGACCCCGUGAACCUUUACUAUAGCUUUGCACUGGACUUUGAAUUUGCUUGUGUAGGAUAGGUGGGAGGCUUUGAAGUGGGGACGCCAGUUCUCAUGGAGCCAUCCUUGAAAUACCACCCUGGCAACUUUGAGGUUCUAACUCAGGUCCGUUAUCCGGAUCGAGGACAGUGUAUGGUGGGUAGUUUGACUGGGGCGGUCUCCUCCCAAAGAGUAACGGAGGAGUACGAAGGUGCGCUCAGACCGGUCGGAAAUCGGUCGUAGAGUAUAAAGGCAAAAGCGCGCUUGACUGCGAGACACACACGUCGAGCAGGUACGAAAGUAGGUCUUAGUGAUCCGGUGGUUCUGUAUGGAAGGGCCAUCGCUCAACGGAUAAAAGGUACUCCGGGGAUAACAGGCUGAUACCGCCCAAGAGUUCAUAUCGACGGCGGUGUUUGGCACCUCGAUGUCGGCUCAUCACAUCCUGGGGCUGAAGCCGGUCCCAAGGGUAUGGCUGUUCGCCAUUUAAAGUGGUACGCGAGCUGGGUUUAGAACGUCGUGAGACAGUUCGGUCCCUAUCUGCCGUGGACGUUUGAGAUUUGAGAGGGGCUGCUCCUAGUACGAGAGGACCGGAGUGGACGAACCUCUGGUGUUCCGGUUGUCACGCCAGUGGCAUUGCCGGGUAGCUAUGUUCGGAAGAGAUAACCGCUGAAAGCAUCUAAGCGGGAAACUUGCCUCAAGAUGAGAUCUCACUGGGAUCUUGAAUCCCCUAAAGGGCCGUCGAAGACUACGACGUUGAUAGGUUGGGUGUGUAAGCGCUGUGAGGCGUUGAGCUAACCAAUACUAAUUGCCCGUGAGGCUUGACCAUAUAACACCCAAGCAAUUUGCU
rnacentral:rRNA from 1 species